rnacentral:lncRNA from 1 species
AGAACAACAGAGCUUGAGAGACAGAGUACAGAGGGCAGAGUCUGAGCCAGGAGAGGGUGCAAAGAUCAGUGGAGGCAAAUAUGCACCAACACAGACUCAUGUGGACAUAACAGAAACUGCAAUUAUGGAGAUACCUCUUUAUUUCUUCUAGUAGAUACAAGACUCGCACUGCAUCCGAGGAGAAGACCAGAAUGGACUGGUUUGGCUUCGAGCAACUGCAAUCAGUUGCCUCACAGAGGGUUUCCUUGAUGCUGAAUUUGCUGUUUGCAAAUGCCCAGAAAUCUGCUGCUGAAAGGAGGAACAUUAUCCCUUUGCUGUAUGGCUCAAGAAGUUCUUACAAGAAGAGAGACAGCAAGGACAUGGAGUCUGCUGGAUUCCAGGAGAAAAGGUCUGCAGGGCUCCUGGAGGGAAAAUUACCAGGCAGGUAUUUAUGAGAAAAGGUGAUCUGGUUGAAUUCAAGACUGUAUUACAAACUAUGUGCUUAUCUGGUGUCAGUUGUCAGUUUCAUUGAAUUAAUUGGAGCAAUGCUGAUUUAUAACUGAGGCUUUAGACAAUUCUACAUAAACAGCUCUAAUGAUGCC